UAGGGUGGCGAAUGGCAGCACGAAGGUCGUUGGAGGUGGAGGGUUGGGCAUCGGGGUGGAUGUAGGUUUGGAGAGCGUAGAGGAAGAGAAUUGGGAGCCUGAAGAAUACGAUAAAGAACGCGAGGAAGAGGGAGAGCCAAGGGUGCAUGACUGGGGCUUUGUACAAUAACACCAACUGCGAAGGAUCAAUGUGGGUAUAAAUUGAAAAUGAGCCAGUUCACGUCAGCGUUCUGGUGAUGACUCAUCACCAAAAAUAUGUCCAGGAACCACUUUGAGUGCUCGGAGCUCUAUCUGGAGAGUUACAAUGAAAAAAUCGGGAUCUUGAGGAUUACAUUGAGUAUUUGCGCGAAUUUCAGGGACUACUAUGGGUAUUUAUUCAACUCCUCACAUUGGUGGUAACCCUGGAUGGUGGUGGUCUUCAUCCUCUACCAAAACCUACUCAACAAAAGAGGGAUAUAUUUGGCCCUUGCAAAGGAAUACCAUUGGGAUACCCACAUCAAUUGAAACUGGUUGUGGCGCUCAAAAAUUCCAGAAAAAUUGAAGGUUCUUGUUUGGCUCUGCAUCCAAGAAGCCUUGCCCACAGCAGCUUUUCGAUUUCGGUGCGGGAUAGCGAUGUCGGAUCUCUACCCUCGCUGCAAUGGUCAAAAGAAUCAGCUUACCAUUGCUUUUUGAGUGUUAUCGAGCUCGAAACGUGUGGUCCAUUCUGGGUGUGUCCUUGUUUGGCAUCGGCAGCUCUAUGGCUGGUUUAGUGAACCCCUUGGAUAUUUUUCGAUGCCGGAUGGUGCAAGCUGAUUUCACUUUCUUCACAGGAGGCCUGCUCAGGAGUUGAAAAUUUUCAGCCGCUCAAACCACCUCCUUCAUGAACUUGAUGAUAGUGUGAUUUGGUCUCCUCCUCCAAACGAUAUGGUCAAAAUAAAUUGUGAUGCCACUAUGCCAGCAUUUACCAUGAGUAAAAUCUUGCGGAAUUUGGUUGUCUUCUUCAGAAUAAAAAUGGAACUUGGAGAAAAGGUUGCUCAGGAUAUCUCCCUAAUUAGGAAAUUUUCAGGUGUGAACUUUUUGCUCUAUGGAGGAAUUUGGUUCUUGCUUAGGAGUGUGAGUUCAAAUAAGUCAUAAUCGAAACUGACUCAAUAGAGGUUUAUCUAAGACUUCAAUUUGAUUCUGAUUGGCCAACUAUAACACUGAUGGUGAUCUAAUGUUGAAAAUUAAAAAGUUAUUGGCUUUGAAUUGGAAAGUUCAUUUUAGUCUGGUGAGAAGGGAAGCAAAUUCAGCUGCUGACCUGCUAACUAAUAGAGGGGCUUAGGAUGGGAUUGAUUUGGUGGAGUGGUUAGAGCCUUGGCAACAGUUGCGAAACGUUCUCAGUAGGGAUUUAGUAGUGCCUACUUAAUUCUUGUUUUG